rnacentral:rRNA from 1 species
GACGAACGCUGGCGGCGUGCUUAACACAUGCAAGUCGAACGGAAAGGCCCUGCUUGCAGGGUACUCGAGUGGCGAACGGGUGAGUAACACGUGGGUGAUCUGCCCUGCACUUCGGGAUAAGCCUGGGCAACUGGGUCUAAUACCGGAUAGUAGCCAUUUUUAGUGUGAUGGUUGGAAAGUUUUUUCGGUGUAGGAUGAGCUCGCGGCCUAUCAGCUUGUUGGCGGGGUAAUGGCCUACCAAGGCGGCGACGGGUAGCCGGCCUGAGAGGGUGGACGGCCACAUUGGGAAUGAGAUACGGCCCAGACUCCUACGGGAGGCAGCAGUGGGGAAUGUUGCACGAUGGGCGCAAGCCUGAUGCAGCGAUGACGCGUGGGGGAUGACGGCCUUCGGGUUGUAAACUCCGUUCGCUAGGGACGAAGCUUUUUGUGACGGUACCUAGAUAAGAAGCACCGGCUAACUACGUA